AACGAACGCUGGCGGCGCGCCUAACACAUGCAAGUCGAACGCGAAAGUGUAGCAAUACAUGAGUAAAGUGGCGCACGGGAGAGUAACGCGUAGGUGAUCUAGCUUUGCGACCGGGAUAACCAGCCGAAAGGUUGGCUAAUACUGGAUAGAGCGCAUUUGUCGUAGAGGCGAGUGCGGGAAAGGGUGGCGUAGCAAUACGCUACUGCGCUGAGAUGAGCCUGCGUCUCAUUAGCUAGUUGGUAGGGUAAAGGCCUACCAAGGCGAUGAUGGGUAGCUGGUCUGAGAGGACGAUCAGCCACACUGGAACUGAAACACGGUCCAGACUCCUACGGGAGGCAGCAGUGGGGAAUCUUGCGCAAUGGACGAAAGUCUGACGCAGCGACGCCGCGUGGGUGAAGAAGGCCUUCGGGUUGUAAAGCCCUGUCGAAUGGGAAAAACGAUUAUCGGAAUAAUACGUCGAUAGUGUGAUUGUACCAUUAGAGGAAGCACCGGCUAACUCCGUGCCAGCAGCCGCCGUAA
rnacentral:rRNA from 1 species